CACGUAGGGGGCAAGCGUUGUCCGGAUUUAUUGGGCGUAAAGAGCUCGUAGGCGGUUCGGUAAGUCGGGUGUGAAAUCUCCAGGCUCAACCUGGAGACGCCACCCGAUACUGCUGUGACUAGAGUCCGGUAGGGGAGCGUGGAAUUCCUGGUGUAGCGGUGAAAUGCGCAGAUAUCAGGAGGAACACCAGCGGCGAAGGCGGCGCUCUGGGCCGGAACUGACGCUGAGGAGCGAAAGCGUGGGGAGCAAACAGG
rnacentral:rRNA from 1 species